rnacentral:tRNA from 7 species
GCCUCUAGCUGAGUUGGUUAGGUGGUCUGACUAGCACCCAUUAGGUCCUGUGUUCGAAUACCAGUGGAGGCG